AACGCACCUUGCGCUCCCUGGUAUUCCGGGGAGCAUGCCUGUUUGAGUGUCAUGAACUCUUCAACUCAUCAGUUUCUUUGUAGACUGUGUGAUGUUUGGAUUCUGAGCGCUGCUAAUCUGAUUAGCUCGUUCGUAAUGCAUGAGCAAACUCUAAUUCGAAUUCGGAUUGACUCAGUGUAAUAGACUAUUCGCUGAGGACACAAUUUACAUUGUGGCCGUAUGAGAAACUGUAGUAGCUUCUAACUAUGAUAGUCAACUUUGAUUUAGACCUCAGAUCAGGCAGGAUUACCCGCUGAACUUAA
rnacentral:misc_RNA from 2 species